GCCUGGUGACGGAUUAGGUGCUUGGUAGCUGGUGAUGGAUUAGGCUUUGGUGAUGGUGAUGGAUUAGGCAUUUGGUAACUGGUGAUGGAUAAGGUUUUUGGUGACUGGUGAUGGAUUAGGCUUUUGGUGACUGGUGAUGGAUUAGAGAUUUAGUGACAUGUAAAAUGGCAUGCUAGUUAUUAGAUAAUUAGAUAUUAUGUUAAGGUGGGUUUAUGUGAAAUUCCAGUGCAA